UAACCUAAGAGUUUGAUCCUGGCUCAGAACGAACGCUGGCGGCAUGCCUAACACAUGCAAGUCGAACGCUAUCUUUGAUAGAGUGGCGCACGGGUGAGUAACGCGUGGGAACCUGCCUUUUUCUGUGGGAUAACGGUUGGAAACGACCGCUAAUACCGCAUACGCCCUACG
rnacentral:rRNA from 1 species